UGAAUUAUGGCAGAUAAAAUGCAUAGGUUUUAAGAACCUAAAAUAAGUUAUUCUUUAAUUCAU
rnacentral:tRNA from 1 species